rnacentral:rRNA from 1 species
AUUCUGGCUCAGAUGAACGCUGGCGGCGUGCUUAACACAUGCAAGUCGCGCGUGAAAGGACUUCGGUCCGAGUAAAGCGGCGCACGGGUGAGUAACGCGUGGAUGAUCUACCCAUGAGUUAGGAAUAACGGCUGGAAACGGUCGCUAAUACCAAAUACGCUCCGAUUUCAACUUCGGGGGAAAGGUGGCCUCUGCUUGCAAGCUACUGCUCAUGGAUGAGUCCGCGUCCCAUUAGCUAGUUGGUGGGGUAACGGCCCACCAAGGCGACGAUGGGUAGCCGGUCUGAGAGGAUGACCGGCCACACUGGGACUGGAACACGGCCCAGACUCCUACGGGAGGCAGCAGUGGGGAAUAUUGCGCAAUGGGCGAAAGCCUGACGCAGCGACGCCGCGUGAGGGAUGAAAGGUCCUCGGAUCGUAAACCUCUGUCAGGAGGGAAGAACCGCCACGGUGCUAAUCAGCCGUGGUCUGACGGUACCUCCAAAGGAAGCACCGGCUAACUCCGUGCCAGCAGCAGC